rnacentral:lncRNA from 1 species
GAUAGAUGUUAUAUCUGCCACAGCAUUCUCAAUUUAGGUUUCAGUCUCCCUCUGGAUAGAAAACAAUUAUGAUCCACUCUGGUUGAGAGCACAAGCAGACAAGGGUGCCAUGAGUCAAUAUUGCAGGAUGGAGCAGGAAACACAGGGAGAGAAUUAUUCACAAGGAGGCUAUUUAAGAUUAUACAUGAUCCCCAGGCCUUAGAGGUAUCAUGGCUGGAUCCAUUUUCUACAUGGAGCAUAACCUACGGCAAAAUGGUACUAGAUACAGGAUCAAACUGA